rnacentral:rRNA from 1 species
UCUAGAGAUUACUCCUACGGGAGGCAGCAGUGGGGAAUUUUGGACAAUGGGGGCAACCCUGAUCCAGCCAUGCCGCGUGAGUGAAGAAGGCCUUCGGGUUGUAAAGCUCUUUCAGACGGAAAGAAAACGCAUCGGUGAAUACCCGAUGUGGAUGACGGUACCGUAAGAAGAAGCACCGGCUAACUACGUGCCAGCAGCCGCGGUAAUAAUCGUCGAC